rnacentral:rRNA from 2 species
UGAGGAAUAUUGGUCAAUGGGCGUUAGCCUGAACCAGCCAAGUAGCGUGAAGGAUGACUGCCCUAUGGGUUGUAAACUUCUUUUAUAAGGGAAUAAAAUGGGGAACGUGUUCCCCUUUGCAUGUACCUUACGAAUAAGGAUCGGCUAACUCCGUGCCAGCAGCCGCGGUAAUACGGAGGAUCCAAGCGUUAUCCGGAUUUAUUGGGUUUAAAGGGUGCGUAGGCGGAAUGAUCAGUCAGUUGUGAAAGUUUAAGGCUCAACCUUAAAAUUGCAGUUGAUACUGUCAUUCUUGAGUGUACAAGAGGUGGGCGGAAUUCGUGGUGUAGCGGUGAAAUGCUUAGAUAUCACGAAGAACUCCAAUUGCGAAGGCAGCUCACUGGGGUACAACUGACGCUGAGGCACGAAAGUGUGGGUAUCAAACAGG